rnacentral:lncRNA from 1 species
GUGUUUCUAUUCAGGGUCAGAAAGGUAACAACUGUGUCUUUCUAUCUUAUCUCAGCACGUCUGCACUUCUCGUAUUUGGGCAUACAAUCAAAUGGAAUCGAGGAUGUUAAUUUUAUUGAUGUUCUUAGUGUUUUCUUGUUCUGUAUUAGCAUGUGAUACUAGUGAAGAAAUACGAAAAAUACAUGUGAUACUUAAACAGCAGCAAUUGGAAAUCCUUAAACUACAAAAUGAAAACAAAUCAUUCAAAGCAGAAAACAAUCUUCUUACGAAGAACGUAGAUAGAUUAAACGAAAUAAUUUCCAGAUUAGACCAUUCAUCGGAAGACAAGGCAGUUU